rnacentral:rRNA from 1 species
AGCGGCGGACGGGUGAGUAACGCGUGGGUAACCUGCCUCAUACAGGGGGAUAACAGUUGGAAACGGCUGCUAAUACCGCAUAAGCGCACAGUACCGCAUGGUACCGUGUGAAAAACUCCGGUGGUAUGAGAUGGACCCGCGUCUGAUUAGCUAGUUGGUGGGGUAACGGCCUACCAAGGCGGCGAUCAGUAGCCGACCUGAGAGGGUGACCGGCCACAUUGGGACUGAGACACGGCCCAA